ACUAUACUGAAUUCAAUUUGGAAAAAUGUUAUUUACUCUUUUAUUUAUUAUGUGAUUUAUAUAUAUUAUGUGAUUCCGUGCAAGAGAUUAACAACAGAGUCGUGAUGCAUAAUCUAACGUUAACGGUAAUUUCGUUUAGUUUGUACCUUCAUCUUCGCAAUGUCAAACUUAUGAAAAGGAUUAUUUGCAGUAGAUUUAAAUCUAGCGUGGCUAUACUUACAGAUUAUUGUCUAAUCGCCAUUUUAUUGGACAACAGAGAAUUUCUAUAUAUACAUGUAUAAUCAGUGUGGACAAUAAGUGUAUGAUGAGCUUUGAGUUUCGUGUUGGCUGAGUUGUGCGUGAAGAGGUGGGUUUAUCGUGUUUCAACAAUUUCUAUACUAAUGUUUGUUGCUAGUUCGAAAAGUUCGCAUUUUUACAUUUAUAUCGAUGUAAGCAGGUCUUCUUUAUAACUUCCCAACUGAUUAUUUGUAUGAAACAAAGUUUAAAUGGCAGGGUGAAAUGAAGAUGUGUAAUUUCUCUUACGUGCUUCUAGUUGACUCGGUAAACCUAUGGCUGAAGCAUCGAUUUAGGCCGUCUAGUAAAAAAUAAAACUUUUCUAUUAGCUUAAGCCAUAUUUUGCUGAUAAGCAGUCCGUAUAAAGUCUUAGUUAAAUUAACGAGAGAACGACCUACUUUUUAUUUGUCUUGUUCUAAAGCCUUCGACUCUGACGAAAAUGAACGAAGACAUUUCAAUAAAAUUACCUGAACUUUGCUCCGUUUUAUAAAGGAGGAUUUAAUUUUAUUUGAUCAGUAUGUACAUACAUUUCGUAAAAAGAUUGAUACGGGUUGCAAAAUUGGUGUCUGGAUUUAUUGACUUUUUUUUGCAACGUCAAUAUAAAUUUUAUUCUCACGAAUGUGUUCAAUGUCUGGAAAUACAUUAGCGUUCCAUAAACGGUAGAGGUGAGGCUUCUAAGUUACACAGUGAGCCCUGCGAAGUUCGCCGUAGAUCUCAGUCCGCCUCGUCCUUAAGACACACGAACUUCGACAGCUAACCCACGGAGCACUGUCACGAAGCUUGACUAAUUAGAACUACAGCUAAUUAGUGUAAUCGAACAGGUGUAAAUAUAGGGAAUAUACGACGGCGGCCUGGACAGCCUAACUUCCCAAUCAUAAGUCAGGUACAUAGACAAAAAAAUCUGGAAGCAUCCACAGAAUCGUAAUUGCUCAAUAUGCUCGUUUCAUAGUCCCCUCUGGUGAUAUAGCUUACACUGCUGACUCACCCUGAUCAACAAAGCAGGAGAAUGAUGAGUUGUGAGCGAUCUGCAGCCACCUGUCGGACGCCUUUGAUCAGUGAAGUAAGGUAAGUGGCGUCUCACCUCAUUCUUUGACUCGUUGAGGAAGCAUCCGAUUGCAUCAGUGUUACUCACUGAAUGCUGUUGCACGCGGCGAGCGAGCAAACCAACAACCAUCUAAUCCACUUGUGUCUCUUCCUUUUUGGUGACUCAGACCCGAUCCUGGAUAGCAAGUGAUGAGCUGCUUUCGCUUCGUGCCUUGUAGGUUCAAGAUAACCUUCCAUGGAUAAUAACUAUAGUCCAUUCAUAUUAUCAAAAGACUUCUCGCACGGACGCGAAACAGGAUUUGGCUAGCAGAUGAACUAAUCAAGGCAGAAUAGAUCAAUGGGUAUAGAUAAACACCAUAUAAAUGAGCUCGUCAGAUAUAGGUCCUGUUAACAAAUCUGAACAAUUUGAAAACGUUGCAUUCGAAAGGGAAUAAAAAAAAUCCCAAUUGCAAAUUGCCAAGUGUGGAAAUAUGGAAAAUUCAAAUCGUAUAAUCUACGUUUCUCUCAAAUGAUAAAUUUCCUGUUGACGUACAAUGGUACUAUAUCUAUUAGUAAGAAAGGAGAGGUACCUCUACGAACUCCUACUGCGCUUUUGUAUUCCAGCGCAUCGUAGAUUGAAUAAAAUGCAGAAUAAGCAAACCUGUAAGGAUCAAUCCGAAAAUGCAAUAGGGCAACAUAACAAGUCGUUUUCAUCUAGUCUUACAUUUCAAGCAAGGGCCACUCAGGGGAACAAAGGUAGGGGUCAUCGACUAACGCUAUGAUUACAUUUUCUUUGUCGUUGAAAUUGUUAUAUUUUUAGUUUGAGCGAUGUCCGAUGUCUUCUACCGGACAGAGAAGUGAAGAAAAUGCUAAAAAGUAAAAGAAAACGUCAAUCUGCUUUUGAUGAAGCGGUCAGUCGUCGCUGGCCGUUGCUUUGGUCAUACUGUUUUUGAGGCAAUUGCUGACUGAACUAAGGAAAAUGACGACUAUGACCGUCAGCUAGUUGGAUAAUCGAAUGUCGCCAAUAUCGGAUAAGCAGCCAUCUACAAAGGGACUACAGGCCAACUCCCGAUUCCCCGGACUACAGAGUUUCCCGGACUCCACCGGCAUAGACUGCAACCAAGUGACCAUUAAUUGCCUAUCGUCUUCCUCUACAUUCUUUUUAUAGUGCUACUCCUUAGACUUCCCGAUCCACUUUUGCGGCAAGAUCCCACCUUCUUUUUGUACAAAUACACUCAUGCAGACAGUCGCUACAGACGUUCAACAAUAAGCAGGCCACACAGGCCACGGAUAACAAGUUUUAUCGGAUUAUAUUGUGCGGCAAGGGCAGCGGCAAGAUGGUAGGAGAGAAGAGGGGACGCAACCCGCUUCUAGGAAGAGACCCACUCGGGAAACAUAACAGAGCUUACACCGUCCGGAGAAAGUGCGACGGGAUAGAAGCGAACUACGUUGUAAGCCAACAUCCUCAUCAGGGGCCGCACUGCCUGAAAGAUGCUUUUACUGGCCAAAGAGAGUUAGUUAGCAACCGGUAACUAACAUGCCAAGUUGGAGAAGAAAUUCACGUUGACUCAACUGGUACAUACGCCAUGAUAACGCAAUAGACGUAAUGCUAGCGGGGACUUCGUGGCUGUCAGGUUACGGUAAAUACGGUACCAAAUUCUAAUUGGAUCUACAUGUACCGGUUUUAUUCCUCAUGACAAGUUACCGUGCGCACGAGAUACGAAUGGUAUUUGAAAAGUUGAACCGAAAUGUUAAAUAGCUAUGUGGUUACCUAGGGAACUUCAUCUAAAGUCAUCGAAAAAUGAGAAAAAGAAAAAAAGUUUUCCAUUGUUAAGAUGGGGCACUUGGUUACAACCGAAAGGAAUUUCGCUCAUAGUACCGGGGAAUAGCGCAGAUCUUAUUUACGAUGCAUACAGAUGUAGCAUAAAAGACAUGUGGCUUGCAAUUUGCCUUAUAAAUCGAUUGUACUCAGAUGCUGGCGGAUUUCCUAUACGUUUUGCAAGUACGCAGUCAGCAAAACUAUGCACCCACAAUCCGCUUGUUUAGUUCUGUUUUCCAUAUCAUCAGUGUCGUUGUUCGCGUAAAAUAUACAGCGUUCGCCAUUCUCUAAUGCUAAUAAGAGCCACGCUUGCAAAUGACUUAAUAUCAAUAUUCUUCUUUUUAUUCAGCAAAGCGAUUGUAAGGCUACAGCUAAUCGGGGAGAACUCUUUUGAUAACUCAUCACAUCAGAAAGGUACCCUGAAAACCCUCGACAGCUGGAACUUCAUUAGAUCGCAGUAUACUCGUAGUACUUCAUCACAGUGUUGCAAUUAUCGAUUGGUAUUUUUCCCAGAACCUCAGAUUGAGACUAAGCAAACGGCACUCCUUUGACAUCCUUUCUUUUGUUUUUUUUUUAAUAUUUUUUUUUUAGGUUUUAUGCUGAAACUUGGGUCUUUAGCUGAAUUGAGCACUGUAUAACUUAGUAUAGUAUUCUGCGGUUCGUGUUCAGAGUGACUGCUGUCGAGCACGUGACCUAUGGUGAUUAGUCAUUGGGUAUAGGGUCACGUCUUUCCCUCAUAUGAUCAGCCCAGUUUGCGGAAGAGGAAAAGCGCAGAUAGAAGAUCAGUGUUUGGCUUUUUUGGCGAGAUCCUUUUUCGACGCACAAAAGGCAGACACUAUAUUGCACUUAAGUUGAUGUACAAUUCAAGUUAAAGUAUGCCUAGGAACUACGAAGUAUCAGAUGUGAGCUGAUUGCCAAAUACGUGUCAUUUCGGACGUAGCUGAAGGAAAUAAAUUCGGACCACAUUAGAUAUAGCAUAUCACUACUUUUAAUAAAAGAGAUCCUCACGUUUCUAUACAUUGCACAGAUGUGGUUGUAGUCAACUAAGAUGAUUGAUUGGCUAUUAGAAAAGUCUCAGUUGCGCUAA